rnacentral:rRNA from 1 species
AUUGAACGCUGGCGGCAGGCCUAACACAUGCAAGUCGAGCGGAUGAAGGGAGCUUGCUCCUGGAUUCAGCGGCGGACGGGUGAGUAAUGCCUAGGAAUCUGCCUGGUAGUGGGGGAUAACGUCCGGAAACGGGCGCUAAUACCGCAUACGUCCUUAGGGAGAAAGUGGGGGAUCUUCGGACCUCACGCUAUCACAUGAGCCGAGGUCGGAUUAGCUAGUUGGUGGGGUAAAGGCCUACCAAGGCGACGAUCCGUAACUGGUCUGAGAGGAUGAUCAGUCACAGUGGAACUGAGACACGGUGCAGACUCCUACGGGAGGCAGCAGUGGGGAAUAUUGGACAAUGGGCGCAAGCCUGAUCCAGCCAUACCGCGUGGGUGAAGAAGGCCUUCGGGUUGUAAAGCCCUUUUGUUGGGAAAGAAAAGCAGCAGGUUAAUACCCCGCUGUUCUGACGGUACCCAAAGAAUAAGCACCGGCUAACUUCGUG